rnacentral:rRNA from 1 species
GCGGCCUAUCAGCUUGUUGGUGGGGUAACGGCCUACCAAGGCAACGACGGGUAGCUGGUUUGAGAGAACGAUCAGCCACACUGGGACUGAGACACGGCCCAGACUCCUACGGGAGGCAGCAGUGGGGAAUCUUGCGCAAUGGGCGAAAGCCUGACGCAGCAACGCCGCGUGCGGGAUGACGGCCUUCGUGGUUGUAAACCGCUUUCAGCAGGGACGAAAAUGACGGUACCUGCAGAAGAAGCUCCGGCUAACUACGUGCCAGCAGCCGCGGUAAUACGUAGGGGGCGAGCGUUGUCCGGAAUCAUUGGGCGUAAAGAGCUCGUAGGCGGUUCAGUAAGUCGGGUGUGAAAGCUCCGAGCUCAACUCGGAGAGGCCACCUGAUACUGCUGUGACUAGAGUCCAGUAGGGGAGUGUGGAACUCCUGGUGUAGCGGUGAAAUGCGCAGAUGUCAGGAAGAACACCAGCGGCGAAGGCGGCACUCUGGGCUGGUAUUGACGCGGAGGAGCGAAAGUGUGGGUAGCAAACAGGAUUAGAUACCCUGGUAGUCCACACCGUAAACGUUGGGCACUAGGUGUGGGGAGGAUCAACCCUUUCCGUGCCGUAGCUAACGCAUUAAGUGCCCCGCCUGGGGAGUACGGA